GGACCGCGGCCCCGGAAAUCGAAGGGAUCGCGCUCGCACGGGGCGUGGUCAUUAAUACCAUCGAAUCUCGAUAUAUAAAUAAGAUUAAGGCGCGUAUCGCGCUUAGCGCGAGACGUGAAUUUCUUAACUCGCUCGAGCCCGCUUAGCGUCGUCGCACCGAAAGAUGCGCUCAGUUUGAGACUUGGUCUCAGAUCGGUACGGACUUAUUAACGACUAAAUGAGUGAUUUAUGUACCCACAAAUAAAAGAUGUAAUAAUAAAUGUGUCUUUUGCGCUUAAUCACGCUGUAAUUACUUUAAAGAUUGCACGAAGAUGUCCCCGUAGCUGCUAUUAAUUACGCCGCAUGAAUACAAACGGCUUUUGCAUUAGAAACUGGAGCCGCUAUUGUAAUCCGCCGCGGGGAAUCUCGCACUAUAAAUUGCCCACGACGUCGAAAAAGGGCAACGUUUUGAAGAGGGUCGUGGCUCAAAGCGUGUAAAUUAGAAAUUACUUCGCUACAUUCUAAGUUUAAAGGCUUACGAAACUUACGAAGAAGAAAUGCACGCAAUUAACGUAAUUAGCCAAAAAAUUGUACGAGUAACAUUCGUAUAAAACAUUCGUUGACCGCGAGACGGAGCUUAGCAAUUAAGCAAAUACGCCAUGGGGAUGAUGGCAUUUAAUUAAUUAGACACCUCGGUCAGUUAACCAAGAAGCGUUUAGUUGGACUGGUAUUUCGCUGCAGGAAUGGCAUUCCAUGAGUACACGCAAACCUCAUACGACAAAUGAGAGACACGAAAUCUUCUGUGUAAUUAUUUCUACACAAUGACUAUGUGGAUGCUUGUUCUUGUGUUGAUUGAUCGUAACAAAUAAAAUAUUAAAUACAUUCAGUUAUUGAAAACCAUAUAAUAAAAUUAUUUCCACAUUUGAUGUUUAAUUUUUCUUGCUAAAAUAGAAAAUUUAAAAAAAAAUCGAAUUACGUCACGACAAUAAAAUACAGGUCAAUUUAAAAAAAAUGUCCUUUAUGCAUGUAUGCCUUACAUAAGAUUGUAAUAAUUAUAAUUUUUUGUUGA